AAAAUGGUGUCUUGAUUGAUU
rnacentral:miRNA from 1 species